UUACUGGAGAGUUUGAUCCUGGCUCAGAGCGAACGCUGGCGGCGUGCCUAACACAUGCAAGUCGAGCGAGAAAGGGGUGGCAACACCCUGAGUAAAGCGGCGGACGGGUGAGUAACGCGUGGGUAAUCUACCCUCUAGUCUGGGAUAACCUUCCGAAAGGGGGGCUAAUACCGGAUCAUGUCCCUUUGGGGCAUCACAAGGGGAGCAAAGGGGGCGCCCGCAAGGGGCUCUCGCUGGAGGAGGAGCCUGCGUCCGAUUAGCUAGUUGGUGGGGUAAUGGCCCACCAAGGCGACGAUCGGUAGCCGGCCUGAGAGGGCGAUCGGCCACACUGGGACUGAGAUACGGCCCAGACUCCUACGGGAGGCAGCAGUGGGGAAUCUUGCGCAAUGGGCGAAAGCCUGACGCAGCGACGCCGCGUGGGG
rnacentral:rRNA from 1 species